rnacentral:rRNA from 1 species
UACGUAGGCAGCGAGCGUUGUUCGGAGUUACUGGGCGUAAAGGGCGCGUAGGCGGCCUUCUAAGUCAGACGUGAAAUCCCCCGGCUUAACCUGGGAACUGCGUCUGAUACUGGGAGGCUAGAGUGCGGGAGAGGGAUGCGGAAUUCCAGGUGUAGCGGUGAAAUGCGUAGAUAUCUGGAGGAACACCGGUGGCGAAGGCGGCAUCCUGGACCGACACUGACGCUGAGGCGCGAAAGCUAGGGUAGCAAACGGG